rnacentral:sRNA from 2 species
GGACCAGUAGCAGGGUGCCAUGAAUCAAUGUGAGGUGUUAAACAUCGAAGAGUGGGUGAGAGCGAAUUUCAACUUAUAUGCAUUAAUUGAUCCGUUUAUUGAUUAUAAGACUGCCUUGACAAGUAUUCAUCUGCUCACCCCCAGGACCAUUUCCCUAAAAACGUAACACUGCAGCAUGCAAUGAUGUCACUUGAAGCUCUCACACCCUGUUCAAAGUCCUAUGCGACAAGGUAAUCAGAUAGUUAUGCAAUUGUGUUGGAAAAAUGGAGGGGAGAGAGGUGCAGCAACCAUAUCAAAGCCGAAAGCCCUGUUUAGCCAGGCAUCUGGCUCUACAGCGUUCAUAGUGGGGGAUAUAAAAUUUCUACCCUGACAAAUAGCAGAACUUACUGGAAAUACCAAUUCUUUUAUCGUCAUGCA